rnacentral:rRNA from 1 species
UACGUAGGGUGCGAGCGUUGUCCGGAAUUACUGGGCGUAAAGAGCUCGUAGGUGGUUUGUCGCGUUGUUCGUGAAAACUCACCAGCUUAACUGUGGGCGUGCGGGCGAUACGGGCAGACUGGAGUACUGCAGGGGAGACUGGAAUUCCUGGUGUAGCGGGUGGAAUGCGCAGAUAUCAGGAGGAACACCGGUGGCGAAGGCGGGUCUCUGGGCAGUAACUGACGCUGGAGGAGCGAAAGCGUGGGGAGCGAACAGG